UACGUAGGGUGCUAGCGUUGUCCGGAUUUAUUGGGCGUAAAGGGCUCGUAGGCGGCGUGUCGCGUCGGGGAGUGAAAAGCCCGCUGCUUAACGGCGGGUUGGCUUCCGGUACGGGCAUCGCUGGAGUGCGGCAGGGGAGACUGGAAUUCCUGGUGUAGCGGUGAAAUGCGCAGAUAUCAGGAGGAACACCGAUGGCGAAGGCAGGUCUCUGGGCCACUACUGACGCUGGAGAAGCGAAAGCAUGGGGGAGCGAACAGG
rnacentral:rRNA from 1 species